CUCUCGCCCCUUCCCCGGCUCUUAGGACGCGACUCUCGCGGUAGCCCCGAGUUAACCCUUCCGCUGUCAGGCCCGUCGCAGGACUAGGGCGCACCCAGGGCAAGAGGGACUAAGGGGCGGCUGGCUACGGACAGGAAAUAAGAGCUCACCUCCAGAUGCCCCGGCUCUGAUGGCCUCCUCUCAGCAGCCAGGUUCAUGCUGCUCCGUACUUCUGGGAAUCUGGUAUCGCUGACUUCCGGGAUCCUCUUCUCUCCUCUCUUCUUGCUUCUUCCCAGUUCCCAUUCACAGUCUAGCUCGUUAUUUCUAUACCUUGGAAGUACUCAUGAAGCUCUGAGCUCUGCUGCAUUGGAUAUCAUCUUGUGAACUGUUCAAGGGCAGGAUGACCAACAACU
rnacentral:lncRNA from 1 species